rnacentral:rRNA from 1 species
AUUGAACGCUAGCGGGAUGCUUUACACAUGCAAGUCGAACGAGUGGCGGACGGGUGAGUAAUAUAUCGGAAUGUGCCCAGUAGCGGGGGAUAACUACUAGAAAGAGGGGCUAAUACCGCAUAAUAUUGGAGGGGCCGAUCUCGGAGUGGCUAGUUGGUGGGGUAAAGGCUCACCAAGGCAACGAUCCGUAGCUGGUUUGAGAGGACGACCAGCCACACGGGGACUGAGACACGGCCCAGACUCCUACGGGAGGCAGCAGUGGGGAAUUGUGGACAAUGGGGGAAACCCUGAUGCAGCCAUCCCGCGUGUAUGAGAAGGCCUUCGGGUUGUAAAGUACUUUUGGCAGGGAAGCGUUAUCUGCAGAAUAAGCACCGGCUAACUACGUGCCAGCAGCCGCGGUAAUAC